UGCCAGCAGCCGCGGUAACACGGGGGGCGCGAGCGUUAAUCGGAAUUACUGGGCGUAAAGCGCACGCAGGCGGUUUGUUAAGCUAGAUGUGAAAGCCCCGGGCUCAACCUGGGAUGGUCAUUUAGAACUGGCAGACUAGAGUCUUGGAGAGGGGAGUGGAAUUCCAGGUGUAGCGGUGAAAUGCGUAGAUAUGUGGAGGAAUACCAGUGGCGAAGGCGGCCUCCUGGCCAAAGACUGACGCUCAUGUGCGAAAGUGUGGGUAGCGAACAGGAUUAGAUA
rnacentral:rRNA from 1 species